UGGGGAAUAUUGCACAAUGGGCGCAAGCCUGAUGCAGCCAUGCCGCGUGUGUGAAGAAGGACUUCGGGUUGUAAAGCACUUUCAGCGGGGAGGAAGGCGUUAAGGUUAAUAACCUUGGCGAUUGACGUGACCCGCAGAAGAAGCACCGGCUAACUCCGUGCCAGCAGCCGCGGUAAUACGGAGGGUGCAAGCGUUAAUCGGAAUUACUGGGCGUAAAGCGCACGCAGGCGGUCUGUCAAGUCGGAUGUGAAAUCCCCGGGCUCAACCUGGGAACUGCAUUCGAAACUGGCAGGCUAGAGUCUUGUAGAGGGGGGUAGAAUUCCAGGUGUAGCGGUGAAAUGCGUAGAGAUCUGGAGGAAUACCGGUGGCGAAGGCGGCCCCCUGGACAAAGACUGACGCUCAGGUGCGAAAGCGUGGGGAGCAAACAGG
rnacentral:rRNA from 1 species